UUGAUCAUGGCUCAGGACGAACGCUGGCGGCGUGCCUAAUACAUGCAAGUAGAACGCUGAAGUCUGGUGCUUGCACUAGACGGAUGAGUUGCGAACGGGUGAGUAACGCGUAGGUAACCUGCCUCAUAGCGGGGGAUAACUAUUGGAAACGAUAGCUAAUACCGCAUAACAGUAUUUACCGCAUGGUAGAUAUUUGAAAGGAGCAAUUGCUUCACUAUGAGAUGGACCUGCGUUGUAUUAGCUAGUUGGUGAGGUAACGGCUCACCAAGGCUUCGAUACAUAGCCGACCUGAGAGGGUGAUCGGCCACACUGGGACUGAGACACGGCCCAGACUCCUACGGGAGGCAGCAGUAGGGAAUCUUCGGCAAUGGGGGCAACCCUGACCGAGCAACGCCGCGUGAGUGAAGAAGGUUUUCGGAUCGUAAAGCUCUGUUGUAAGGGAAGAACUGUGAGAAGAGUGGAAAGUUUCUCACUUGACGGUAUCUUACCAGAAAGGGACGGCUAACUACGUGCCAGCAGCCGCGGUAAUACGUAGGUCCCGAGCGUUGUCCGGAUUUAUUGGGCGUAAAGCGAGCGCAGGCGGUUUGAUAAGUCUGAAGUAAAAGGCUGUGGCUUAACCAUAGUACGCUUUGGAAACUGUCAAACUUGAGUGCAGAAGGGGAGAGUGGAAUUCCAUGUGUAGCGGUGAAAUGCGUAGAUAUAUGGAGGAACACCGGUGGCGAAAGCGGCUCUCUGGUCUGUAACUGACGCUGAGGCUCGAAAGCGUGGGGAGCGAACAGGAUUAGAUACCCUGGUAGUCCACGCCGUAAACGAUGAGUGCUAGGUGUUGGGUCCUUUCCGGGACUCAGUGCCGCAGCUAACGCAUUAAGCACUCCGCCUGGGGAGUACGACCGCAAGGUUGAAACUCAAAGGAAUUGACGGGGGCCCGCACAAGCGGUGGAGCAUGUGGUUUAAUUCGAAGCAACGCGAAGAACCUUACCAGGUCUUGACAUCCCGAUGACCGCCCUAGAGAUAGGGUUUCUCUUCGGAGCAUCGGUGACAGGUGGUGCAUGGUUGUCGUCAGCUCGUGUCGUGAGAUGUUGGGUUAAGUCCCGCAACGAGCGCAACCCCUAUUGUUAGUUGCCAUCAUUCAGUUGGGCACUCUAGCGAGACUGCCGGUAAUAAACCGGAGGAAGGUGGGGAUGACGUCAAAUCAUCAUGCCCCUUAUGACCUGGGCUACACACGUGCUACAAUGGCUGGUACAACGAGUCGCAAGUCGGUGACGGCAAGCUAAUCUCUUAAAGCCAGUCUCAGUUCGGAUUGUAGGCUGCAACUCGCCUACAUGAAGUCGGAAUCGCUAGUAAUCGCGGAUCAGCACGCCGCGGUGAAUACGUUCCCGGGCCUUGUACACACCGCCCGUCACACCACGAGAGUUUGUAACACCCGAAGUCGGUGAGGUAACCUUUUAGGAGCCAGCCGCCUAAGGUGGGAUAGAUGAUUGGGGUGAAGUCGUAACAAGGUAGCCGUAUCGGAAGGUGCGGCUCGAU
rnacentral:rRNA from 1 species